GGAGCGGUGGCCGAGUGGCCGAAGGCAACGGUUUGCUAAACCGUCGUACCGUAACUGGUACCGGGGGUUCGAAUCCCCCCUGCUCCG
rnacentral:tRNA from 1 species